rnacentral:misc_RNA from 1 species
ACAAUCGCGAUGUAACGUCGAGUAUCGACGACGACGUAUGGGGUGGACGCGAGAUCGUCGUCGUCGUCGUCGUCGUGCCGGAUGUCGCAAUCAGCAGCGAACGCCUGAAGAGAAUUGAUUUGAGAUGUCAGAGUGACAAGUAGUCGAGUGUUCUCGCGGAGUGGGAAUUUUUUUUCGAUUGGUGCAAGAGUCAAGAGUAAACUACUGAAAACGUUUCAAUUAAUUUCUCAACUAAUUUCUGCCUAGGAGUUAUCUUUUUUUCGGAAACUAUAUUCUAUAAAAAAUUUAGAUUGAAUAUUUUCUCCUUUUCUUUAAAUUUUUCCCAAAGUUAAUCUGUGAACUGAUAUAUUAUAGUAUCAUCUGUUAAAUUAAAAUUAGGAGGACCAAGGGAAAUAUAAAUCGAAACGAUGAUUCAAAUCUUUUCAUUAGUAGCUCACCUGCCAACAAAUUUCUUAUACAAUAUAUGUAGUAUUUCGCCACUUUACGCAAAGAGAUAUACGCUUUGGAAAUUAUUUAAAUAAAUAAAUAUGGCGCUAAUAAUCUGAUAAGAAACCGCGAAGAUAAUACGAAUAAUUGAAUAAUAUGUUGCUAUUAAUUAUUAGCUGGAAACUAGAAAUUAUUUAAUGCUCGAUAUUUUUGAUCAGCGGCUUCCGGUUCUGUAACGGAAGUCUCGUGUCAUGCGACAGGUGUCAAGCCGUAAUAUCUGGAGCAUACGUUACUUCUGUCUCGAUACUUGAAGCAUAUCGCCAAAUUGCGCGAUAUUAUCAAGAUCUUGCAUCAAUUCGGACUAAAUGUUUACAAUAGUCGGAUAUACGCGGCGAAAAUUGGCAGUGAAUAUCGAGUCUUUUGCGUCGUUACCGCGCUGGUCGCGGAUCGAUCUUUAUCUUGCGAGAAAAACUAGAAUGUGUCGUGCGACACAUGAUUAUUACCUUCGCCGUUAACGAUCCAAGGGUUGCAGUCGGCCUAUCAUACCUCGUAUAAAUUUACAAAGACUUUUGUUAUCAUAGUAAUUUCCGCGCGUUUCUUUUCAAGAAUUAACGUGUUUCGAGUUAACAAUUACAACUGCAAUUUUUAUGAUACAAAACUAUCUCGAUUUUUAACAACCAUUAACAUUGAAAUGACUCGACUAAACAAAAUCGCAAAGGUGUAAUGUUUUAAAACUAACGGACUAUCUUAAUUUAGAUCUAAUCCGACGUUAUAAUAUCAAAAUAGAGAGCGACAGGGAAUUUUCCUUUAAUUAAACUUAGCUAUUUCAUUGAGUCGAGAGAAUCAGUUUUUAAAUUAUCAGAAAUGAGUUUAGUGUUUUUUUUUUUUUUUUUAAUUUGAGGGAUGAAACUUGUAAUUGCGCAUUCACGUUGCUCUUGAGUCUUCGGAAAAAAAAAAAAAAAAAAUUGCUCGGAUCAUCGUUACACUGAAUCGUGCGAUUGUUCGGGCAACAAAGUGCUAAAGAGCGGCUGCGGAGAGCGCGUUGCGCGCCAGAUCUUCGCGGAGGCGCAGACUGCGUGAUUCUCACUCAGUCGACGACGCCGCGGGACUUCCGGCAUCAUCGCCAAAAUUGCGCCGUCCUCUUGGCAGGGCUUCUGGUGCUCGUGACGCGCGUCAGCGAAGUUCCCCGCUGCGGGAACGGCGAUUGCAUUACUCACCUAUCGUCAGCCAAAUCGUGUAUCUCACGGAGAUCGUUGCGGAGAGAUCGCUACCGUCGGGGGAAAAUCUUCGCGCGUCUCCGUCCUUUCACCGGCGAUCACCAGCGAUGUCCGGAUUCUGGAAUCGAGAUUUAUCGGAUUUCCGUGCUCGUCGUAUAAGGCAAAUCAGACUCGAUAUUAAAAUGCCGACCGAGUGCAUCGCCAACCCGUUGCAGCGGGAGCUGGCCGACUCGAUAAUACGGCUGCAGCCGCUCGACGAGAUCCGCAUCCUCCUCGCGUGCGGCGCCAAGCCGAACGAGCCGGUCACCCAGGGCCUCAGGCCCCUGCACUACGCCGUCUGGCAGCGGUACACCGAGGCCGCCCAGCUGCUGCUGGUGCGAGGCGCCGACAUCGACGCCACCGACGAGUGCGGCUACUCGGCCCUGCAUCUCGCCGCCGAGCACGGCUACCUCGACCUGGUGAAGCUGCUGCUGAAGUAUGGCGCCAAGGUGGACCAUCGACAGGACACGGGGGAACUCUUCCCUAGGACUAUGUUGUGCGACGAGCCGCUACGCUUGGCCCUACGAAACCGCCACGUCGAGGUCGCGAAGACCCUGCUCGAGGCCGGCGCCAAUCCGAACAAGAGGUACUUCUUCGGCUCCGAGAUUAAUCUGGUGUCGCCCUUGGACCUGGAGUGUAUGGAGCUGCUGUUAGCCUUCGGCGCUUAUCCGAACACUCGGGAUCGUGCCGGGUUGACGCCCCUCAUGAAGGCCGCCAGGCUACCGCAGGGUAUAGCCUCGGUGCUUCUGCUGCUGAGCUACGGCGCCGAUGUGAACGCGACGGCGGACGCCAGGCACGAUUACCGGACGGUGUUGCACUACGCGAUCCUCGGCGGCGACCCGGCGGUGAUCAAUCUGCUGCUGAAGCAAGGCGCCCGGCUGGACCUCGGGCCGGACUAUCAGAAACCGACGGCCCUGGAUCUGGCCGUACUCAAGGGCGACCCGUCGAUCGUCGAGAUGCUGCUCGAAGCGGGCGCAGACGUGAACGCUUCGUCGCCGAUCAUCGGCUCGCCUCUUCACGUGGCGUGCGCGGACAACAUCCCGAACCGGUUGGAGAUCCUGUGCAUGCUGCUCGAGCGCGGCGCCGAUCCCAACCUGGUGAUACGUAGCGACGACGGGCCGGCGCUGCGGCCGGUGCUCGCCGAGUACGUCGCCUCGAACGAGAACCCGUCCGUGGAGGUGGUGGCGUUGCUGCUGAAGUACGGCGCCCGGGUGGUGAUCAAGACGCAGUUCCGCGAUCCGCACGGUAUCCUCAACUCCCUGCAGAACACGGCCGACAAGCCGCUGUUGUUGCGUGCGCUGCUGGAGGCGGCGGAGAGCUUCGACCCGUGCAUGAUACGACGAUCCAGCAGUCUGACGGACGCGCAGAAAGCCCUGGUGAUGGAGGCGGCCAGGACGCCGCUGCCGUUGACCCAUCAGGCGAGACUGAUAGUCCGCAAGCUCUGUGGCACCAAGCUGCCGAAGAUAGUCAGGAAGUUGCAGCUGCCGCAGUCGUUGCACCGUUAUCUCCUCUACGACUACUACUAGCCGAGGAUGAGUUGUCGGGGGAUCGAGACGUUUGUUGGGAGGGAUGAUAUUUCGGUCGGAGCACUUCCUUGGAUUUCCGAGCUUCGUCAAAAUCGUAGACUUGAGAUAAAAAGGACAAGUGUCACCUCGCUAGAAAUGAUCUGUACCGAUAACAUUCGUCGAAGUUUUCCUCGAAGAUUAUUGGAGCGAUGCGGAAGAUAAAGUAUUUGCGCGCUACUGUGAGUCUACGUCAAUUCGAUGAGUACAAUAACGAGGCUGUCGAGGCAUCAACCUCUUAUUUUUACUUAGAGUAUUCUUCUUUUACACGAUAUAUAUAUGAAGCGAUAUAACGCUUAGACAACAGUAUAUAUGUUAUAUGUAUAUUACUUGUACUUAUUACUUGUACUUAUUACGAUUCUAGUCAUCAAAUGUUUUAUAUGUAUGUAUUUUCUCCCUACUUUAUAUGUAUAUCGAGAAGAUUAAUUGUUCGUGACAAUAGAAAAGCGAUACAGGAUACGCAUUCUCGUUGCUCAAACGCGUGAACGGCCGGGAUUUUCUGUGUAUUUAUCGCGAGGUACUCUUGAAUCUGUGGGAAUAUUGCGUACAGAGUUUUAGGGAGUUACGCAGCGAAAAAGCUCGUUGCUCGGCGUCUAUAGCUGCGGGCAAACCGGGAGAGAAUCUCUUCCAACGAGACGAUUGGCUUUUUUGUACCUUUGUAUAUAUGAUGAUAUAUACGCUCAACAUGUACAAUAAAGAGAAAUAAAGGAGAAUCAAAAAGGAA